AAUUUCUGCCAUACAUUUAGCAACCAGUUGCAUAAACUAUUCAGCGAUCGAGCAUAACUCACAAUUCGGUAGAUAAUUUCAAAUCCAUUCUUCACAAAAAGCGUACAACUCAACCAUCAUGGAUAUUUCAUCAAUAACUGAUUUUGAGACCAACUUAAACACCUGCGCAGACAUGUUAAGGUUAAAAAAUCGCUUGAUCAAAUUGGAUUCAAUUAUCAUGCCACAAUGGUCGGAAUUAAAAACUUUCAAAGCCUUAUUAACAAAUUAAUUGAAUUAGAAGUACACAAACGACCUACAAAAAUAUCCGAUUUCGUUCAUACCUACGUUCUAAUCCCCUUCUUAUCAAAAUUAACAACUGCACUGAACAAAAAAGAAGAUAAUAAAUGCGUCAAUAUAACUGACAAUUCUUUGUUGAGAGACACAAUCUUGCCAGUGUGCGAGUUCCUUGCCGAAAAUCAAAAUGAGGACACCGUCCAAGAAUUGGUCUCGGUUUUGACAGCUUUGCACAAUUUUGGACGCAACUUCUCCUGGCAGCAAUUAGAAAAUAUCACGAUCCGAAUUAUAGUGUGGCAGAAGGUCAAAUCUUGCUCGCAUUUCCCCCAGGAAUUUAAAAUGUGCAAGUGUAAUGAUGAAAAGAAGGAUAACUGCAAACUAAAGUUUUCCGACAUCAAGUUAAAACACUGCACGACAAGUGACACCUUACGAAACAUGCUAAAGGUUCAAGACUGGAGAAUCGACUUUAUUGGGAAACGAGCGACCCCAACAGAAAAAAAGGCCGACAUCACUUCAUUAGGCCUAAUCUAUUUCGGCGUUGAUACAACCUCAGAAACUGCAAAUGUGGAGAAUAAAUUUGUAAAAAAACCGUUACGGAGCAGUCACAAUUUCCUUCAUGUUUAAAGAUGUCGCUCAGGAAAGUAAAGUAGUUGUGAAUCUUGGAACUAAAAAAUAUUGGUAUGAAUAUUCUCAGCAAAAAUUGAUACCUAUAUGCCACAAUUAUACCUAUCCCGAUUGGUGGCUCCUUGACGAGAAAGAAAAAACAACAUUUGUUCUUCUCAAGCUUGAGAGACAAGAAGAGACACAGUGGGACAUAUCAUAUUAUAAAACUUGUUGUGCCUGGACACAUCCAGAAAUCGUAAUCCCUGGAAAUUUAAAGGUUGAACGGAAGAAGGUGAAAAUAUUGUUUGAAAAUGACCAUGACUGCAUCGACACAGGCGAUGGUCGUCGAGAGAAGUGUAUAGAAUGCAAAAUUAGAGAGAAUGGAGGCCGGUGCAGGGGAAAAGUUAAGGAUAAGGAUUGGAGAGAUUUUACCUUUUCUGACAACAGCACUGCAGAUUUAUCCAUACAAAUGCUUGCUCAUGGCUGGCCAAUUGCUGAAAGAGAACUGUUAAAAAAAUGUCAAGAUAGCGACAAAAUGUUUGCGGCGUCGCAGUUCGAGAAAAUUGAAGCCUACUGGAUGAAGGAGUGCAGUGAUUUUGAAAUAUUAGAGUGGAAAGUUGGCCAUGUUGGGGAAGGAGAGGUCGGGUGCAGCUCGGUCAAAAAAAGGAGGGGGGACUAACCUUAAUAGAAGACUUACCGUUAAAUUGUUGGAAUUCAGUCGGCUUAGCCGAUAGGAGCAGCGUUUAAAUAUUUUACAACUUGUUCAGCUCCUAGACUUUUCUUGGAUCAUUUCAAUAUUACAUUUCCUCUCUUGCGACGUACUGGAGUACUGUAUUUACAGUGAUAUCCCUCGGUCUAGAAUCCAUUAAUAAGAUUUUUAUGUAUUAAUAUUUGUUGCUAACAUAAUUUAUAAAUAUGUAAAUAAAAAUGUGCAAUUAGUGACUUACCGUAACCUUUAUAACCUAUAGGCUAUAAAUAGUGUAGUUACGGUAAUGCAUGUAUAUGGAUAACACAUUAUUAAAUAUGCGCUGCACAAAAAAUUCAUAAUGUUAUGAAAAUCGUCAAUUUUUGAAACUUCGAGUUGACCAUGAUUCGUAUAAUUCCGGUGUGCCUACUUCGCUACGAAAUCAACUUUAAGGGUAGCCAAUUAGUUAUCUUUAAUAAUUUUAAAACAUUACAUUAAAAAAUUUUAGAUACAAUCAGAUGGGGACGAUUUUAUGAUAUUAAAUCAAAUAAAUAAAUAAAAUUAAUUAAAUAUAGCAAUCUGAUCC